rnacentral:rRNA from 1 species
UACGUAGGUGGCAAGCGUUGUCCGGAUUUACUGGGCGUAAAGAGCUCGUAGGCGACUCAGUAAGUCAGGUGUGAAAACUCCAGGCUCAACCUGGAGACGCCACCUGAUACUGCUGUGGCUAGAGUCCGGUAGGGGAGCAUGGAAUUCCUGGUGUAGCGGUGAAAUGCGCAGAUAUCAGGAGGAACACCGGUGGCGAAGGCGGGUCUCUGGGCCGAUACUGACGCUGAGGAGCGAAAGCGUGGGGAGCGAACAGG